rnacentral:rRNA from 1 species
CUUGGCGACCAUAGCAUUAUGGCACCACCUGAUCCCAUGCCGAACUCAGAAGUGAAACGUAAUUGCGCCAAUGGUAGUGUGGGGAUUCCCCAUGUGAGAGUAGGUCAUCGCCAAGC